rnacentral:lncRNA from 1 species
GUCCCUCUUGUGACACCCUGGGCACAGGGACAUCAACCUCACUGCCCCACUGAUUCCCCCCCUGCUUUCUCCACUGCUUUCCCACGCUUUUCCCCACUCUGUCCACCUCCUCCUGCCAGAAUUUAUGUCCUUGGAGCUGCAUUUCCCUCUCAUUGCACAGAGGAUGCUGGAGUUUGUUGGGUUUUUCCCACAGCCUGCUCUGAGCUUGGGGAGGGAUCUGUGGGGCCAAACAUCCAUCUCCACCAUUCCUGCGUGCCCCUGGUGACUCCAACAAACCAUGGCUGUCCAAAGUUUGCUCUUCCCCCCUCUUAUUUCUAUCUAAUCUUGACAAAACUGACUGUUGGUCCUUCUCCUUGCACAGGGCCAACUCCAGCAAACACAGCAAUGUGUGGCUCCUCAUCCUCCCAGAGACAGGAAAGUCAAUCCCAAACCCAGCAGGGACGUCCAGAUGUGCUGGGCUGUGGGAGCAUCACAUCCACCUACCUGAAUUCUCUGGGCUGGGACCUUUACCUGUCCCCUGUGCUGAUGCUGCUGCUCAGGGGCUCUGCACCAGUCCAGGUGGGUUGCUCAGCAUCUGCUGGCCUCCAAUUUUUGUCUUUCAUUGAAACACACCCCUUACACCCUUCUGCUUUUGUUUGAUUAUUGUUCCUUGUGCUCCUGGAGGGGUUUUAGGGGGUUUUAACAGUGGGGUUUGUGUCCCUGCCCCAUCCAGCCAGUACCUGAUCAACUUUCUGGAGCGGGUGCUGACUCAACCC